GUGAGGAAUAUUGGUCAAUGGGCGGGAGCCUGAACCAGCCAAGUCGCGUGAAGGAAGAAGGAUCUAUGGUUCGUAAACUUCUUUUGCAGGGGAAUAAAGUGCAGGACGUGUCCUGUUUUGUAUGUACCCUGAGAAUAAGGAUCGGCUAACUCCGUGCCAGCAGCCGCGGUAAUCCGGAGGAUCCGAGCGUUAUCCGGAUUUAUUGGGUUUAAAGGGUGCGUAGGUGGUUUGAUAAGUCAGCGGUGAAAGUUUGCAGCUUAACUGUAAAAAUGCCGUUGAAACUGUCGGACUUGAGUGUAAAUGAGGUAGGCGGAAUGCGUGGUGUAGCGGUGAAAUGCAUAGAUAUCACGCAGAACUCCGAUUGCGAAGGCAGCUUACUAAGCUACAACUGACACUGAAGCACGAAAGCGUGGGGAUCAAACAGGAUUAGAAACCCUUGUAGUCC
rnacentral:rRNA from 1 species